rnacentral:lncRNA from 1 species
GGGGGAGGGUAGGGAGGGAGGGUUAGAAGGAAUACUUAAUCCUAUCCCAGGUAUUCCUUAAAGAGGUGGGGUUUCAGGUGUCUCCGGAAGGUGGUGAUUGACUCCGCUGUCCUGAAGUCGUGAGGGAGCUUGUUCCACCAUUGGGGUGCCAGAGCAGCGAACAGUUUUGACUGGGCUGAGCGGGAACUACAGUGCCUUGCGAAAGUAUUCGGAAAGUAUUCGGCCCCCUUGAACUUUUCGACCUUUUGCCACAUUUCAGGCUUCAAACAUAAAGAUAUAAAACUGUAAUUUUUUGUGAAGAAUCAACAACAAGUGGGACACAAUUAUGAAGUGGAACGAAAUUUAUUGGAUAUUUCAAACUUUUUUAACAAAUAAAAAACGGAAAAAUUGGCCGUGCAAAAUUAUUCGAAUACUUUCGCAAGGCACUGUAUGCUUCCGCAGAGGUAGGUCGGCGAGCAGGCCAGAGGUGGAUGAACGCAAUGCCCUUCUUUAGGUGUAGGGACUGAUCAGAGCCUGAAGGUACGGAGGUGCCGUUUCCUUCACAGCUCCGUAGGCAAGCACCAUGGUCUUGUAGCAGAUGCGAGCUUCAACUGGAAGCCAGUGGAGUGUGCGGAGGAGCAGGGUGACGUGAGAGAACUUGGGAAGGUUGAACACCAGACAGGCUGCGGCGUUCUGGAUGAGUUGUAGGGGUUUAGUGGCACAGGCAGGGAGCCCCGCCAACAGCAAGUUGCAGUAAUCCAGACGGGAGAUGACAAGUGCCUGGAUUAGGACCUGCGCCGCUUCCUGUGUGAGGCAGGGUCGUACUCUGCGAAUGUUGUAGAGCAUGUACCUACAGGAUCGGGUCACCGCCUUGAUGUUAGCAGAGAACGACAGGGUGUUGUCCAGGGUCACGCCAAGGCUCUUAGCACUCUGGGAGGAGGACACAAUGGAGUUGUCAACCGUGAUGGCGAGAUCAUGGAACGGGCAGUCCUUCCCCGGGAGGAAGAGCAGCUCCGUCUUGCCGAGGUUCAGCUUGAGGUGGUGAUCCGUCAUCCACACUGAUAUGUCUGCCAGACAUGCAGAGAUGCGAUUCGUCAC